GGCUUUCUUUUUUUUUUUUUUUUUUUUUUUUUUUUGAGUUGGAGGAUUCUAGGAAUCCUAGAAUUCUAUGAAUUCUGGAGAGAAUGUCUUAUAGCUUUCAGAAGAUUCUCAGUGAAAUCCCUGACCCUUCAUGGGGCUAAUAAUUCCCAGAGCCAGAGGAAGCCCUCACUAUCAGCAGCAAAGGGUUCAGAGAAAGGCGGUGUAGAUUUGCUUCCAGGCUGGGUCUGGAACAGUGAACAUUCUGAAGACUGCAAGGGCCUGUCCAUGUACUCAUCUUCCAUGGGAAUCUGCCUGAAAGAGUCCCCCUCAAUCUCAACCAAAGAGAAUGUUCCGGCUUCUUCACCCUGUGCACAGGGCCCAGCUCCUGCACAUGCACCUCCAAAGACACCGGCACCGUCUGGACAGCACGUAUCUUGUGGAAUCAUCUUCUCCUCCAGAUUCAGCAGUAAGACACCUUCACACACUUUGAGCUGAGGAGAGGCUGCCAAGUGAACACCAUUACAGCUGUCACCUGAGGACUCCUGCAGAUAUAAAUUCAGAAGGCAGAGGCAUCAAUACCCAGAGCUAUUAGAACAUGUUCAGCUAACCACUGCUAAAAACAGUGUUUGGACUAAUUAUUUCCAACAAGUACAGAUGGCACACAUUCACCACAGCACUUUAUUUGUUCUAUUUAAAAUUACAGAAUGAAAGAGAACCCUAAAAUGGAAUACAACCAGAAAUUAAUCAGUCUUACUGUAUUUCAAAAGAAUAGCAUAUUCAUUCCUAUGCAAGGAAAGAACUAACCUAAGUAACAUCUGAGCACAAUAUUUUGAUCAUAUGCUAUCAAUCUAAAUAGAUAACAGUAUUAUCAUAAAACCAAACUGUAACUAAAUACUAAAUUUUAGUUAGUAGCUCUGUGUUUUCUGUGGUAAGGUUUAAUAAUUCUGAAACUACUUUCUGUGUAUUCUAUAACUGAGCAAAUGAGUAAACACAUUGAGAAUAAGAGGAGCCAGAUGUCAUAUUGGUAGAAAACGGAAGCUUCAAAUACAAAAAAGGGAAAGAUGGGAAUGAAUUCUUUAGUGUUUGGAAUGGAAUUAGAGAAUGCAGUAUGAUCUUAAAGCUGAUAUAUUUUUAUAUCUAAGAAAAUAGAUGUAAAAGACAAAAUAGAAUUGAUGGAAUUUUAGUAUCAAAUGUGUAUUAGAAAAUAGUAUUAUACUACUGUAAAUUGUUAAAUUUCUUGAUUUUUGACAAAUGUACUACGGUUAUAUAUAAGAAUGUCCUUAUUCUUAAGAAAUGGACACUGAGGUAUUUAAAAAUAUAGGAACACACCAUCUCCAUUCACUUUAAAAUUAUUCCAAAAAAUAUGCAUCUUCAUAUACUAAGAGAAAGAAAGCAAAGAAUAAAGCAACAUAAUAAAAUAUAAACAACGGGUGAAUCUGGGUACAGGGCAUAUGGCAGUUUGUUAUCACAGUCUCACUAUUUUUUUCUGUAAUUUUGAAAGUAUGUCAAAAUAAAAAGUUACCAAAAUAA
rnacentral:lncRNA from 1 species